rnacentral:rRNA from 1 species
AGUGAACGCUGGCGGUAGGCCUAACACAUGCAAGUCGAACGGCAGCACAGUAAGAGCUUGCUCUUACGGGUGGCGAGUGGCGGACGGGUGAGGAAUACAUCGGAAUCUACUUUUUCGUGGGGGAUAACGUAGGGAAACUUACGCUAAUACCGCAUACGACCUACGGGUGAAAGCAGGGGAUCUUCGGACCUUGCGCGAUUGAAUGAGCCGAUGUCGGAUUAGCUAGUUGGCGGGGUAAAGGCCCACCAAGGCGACGAUCCGUAGCUGGUCUGAGAGGAUGAUCAGCCACACUGGAACUGAGACACGGUCCAGACUCCUACGGGAGGCAGCAGUGGGGAAUAUUGACAAUGGGCGCAAGCCUGAUCCAGCCAUACCGCGUGGGUGAAGAAGGCCUUCGGGUUGUAAAGCCCUUUUGUUGGGAAAGAAAAGCGGCAGGUUAAUACCCCGCUGUUCUGACGGUACCCAAAGAAUAAGCACCGGCUAACUUCGUG